rnacentral:lncRNA from 1 species
AGGAUUGGCUUUGAGAUUUUGCUGAAGGAGAGUCUGUGUCAUGGCUCUGGAGUGGAGGCCAGAUAAAUAUAAAGUGUGUUGCAGACAAGUGGAAUGUUUCUUGGGAUUUGACAUUGCUGCAUUGCAUAUAAUGAAGGCUACCUUGCAAAUGGGUUUACUGAGCAGAAUGUGGAAGAAUGGACAAGUGACAAAAAGGAUGGAGAAGUGGCUAAAAUACCAGACACAGCUGCAAGAAUGA